AGAAGAGGCUGAGUUGGGGCUCCACCCAUGGGUGCAGCCAGGACGCUCCUUUGUUAUUCUGGACCACAAAGAAAGGACUCACCUGGGCUCUUGGUGACCUCAGGUCAAGUUAUCCCAUCCAAACCCAGGGGAGCAUGGAAGGCAAAUUCCAGGUCAUUGCUGGAGAGUUUCUGGUGGAAUAUCAGCUUUUGGAAGAGCAGACAUUGGGCUGGGAAGCAGCUGCAGCAGUGCCUUGUCUCAGAAUCCAGCAGGGAAGUGGAACAAGACAAACUUUAGAUCCUUCCCAACACAAACAAUUCCAGGAUUCUGUGAUAAGAAAUGGGGUGCUGACCCCAAGCUGACCUCCCUGUGAGUUGUCCUUGGAAUGAUCUGGGUCUGGUCUCCAGGAAGGGGGAUUUUUUUGGAUCCCACCUGUUCAUGGACUCUGAUUUGUGAAGGCUUCCCUCUUGCCCACCCAGGAUAUUGGUGCACAAUAAAAUGAGGAAGAGCAGGAAUGGGCUGUGCAGGUGCUUUUCCACGGGUGCUCCCUUCCUAAUGUUCCAUAGCUGUGCGAGAGAGGAGCGAGAGAGAUUUAACAUGGAAAAGCUCUGGAGAGUUUUUAUUUAUUCCUCUGUCUCCUGGAGUGCAUCAGGAUCACAAAUUCUUGUAACACCAUGAGGUUUUAAAGCUCUGAGCAAGUGUCUGUCUCGUGGAAAAUCCUCCUGCAAAACACAAAACGAUAUUUUUGUCAUCGCGGUGCCUCGGGAACAGCUGACAGCUGCUGCUUUGUCCUGAUCUGUUCUGCACUUUUCUCUUUAUUGAGUGGAACGAGGGAGCUCUGGGGUGGGGAGAGGGCCGUGUUCUGAUUUUAUUGGAGUGUUUUCCCAGUUUGUGCUGUGUAGUUUCCCGGGAGUGUGGAGAAGGAUGUGGAAACCUCGGGCAGCUCCUGGCCUCGGCUCUCCGUGGUACCUUGGAGAGCUCCUGCAGCCGGGUGUGGCUUCUCCUACGGGUGGGAAGCAUCCUUACACUGUACUGGCACAAUUUUUACUGAAAUCCCUAAAAAUCCGUGGGACACUGUGCUCCUGAGGGGGAUUGAUCUACCCCUGUCCUCCAGUAAAAAGGGAGGAUGCUCUCAAAUCUGUGCCAGGAUUUAUCCAUCACUCCUGUGGCUUUGCAAGGCAUGGAGUGACCAGAAAAGGGGGAAUGACUUCAGACUGAAAGGGAGCAGGGUUAGAUGGGAUAUUG